GAUACCCCACUAUGCUUAGCCCUAAACAUAAGUACUCAAUUAACAAGAAUACUCGCCAGAGAACUACUAGCCACUGCUUAAAACUCAAAGGACUUGGCGGUGCUUUAUACCCCUCUAGAGGAGCCUGUUCUAUAACCGAUAAACCCCGUUAAACCUCACCACUCUUUGCAAUGUCAGCCUAUAUACCGCCAUCUUCAGCAAACCCUAACAAGGUACCACAGUAAGCAUAAUUAUUCUACAUAAAAACGUUAGGUCAAGGUGUAGCCUAUAGAGUGGGAAGAAAUGGGCUACAUUUUCUAAUUCCCUAGAACACUUCACGACAGCUGCCAUGAAACAUGACUAGCCCAAGGCGGAUUUAGUAGUAAGUUGGGAAUAGAGCGCCCAACUGAAUUGGGCAAUAAAGCACGCACACACCG
rnacentral:rRNA from 1 species